GUUUACGACUCCUAGGAAGUCUCUGUUCCGAUAAUUCCCUCCAUUGAUUCGUAACGCCUCCCGCGCCACGGUACAAUGCUCGCGACCGCGAGCACGGUUGCGAAAGAGAAACGGUGGGGUGUCUUCAACGGAGAACUACAGUGUCAUAUCCACUACUGAACGCAGAUCUCCCCGAUAGCUUACAUAGUAUUUUCUCUAUGAAUUACUUAUAGUAAAAUCAUUUUGAAUAUUAAUCUAAGAUGUUUGAUUAAAAAUCAGCAAAGAAACGGACGUAUUAGCAUAAUUUAGAAAUUAGUCCGAAAAUAAAAGCUAACCUCGUUUAAACAUAAACAUAUGUAAAAUAUAUUAAAUUGAAAUAACAUUAAAGACUAAACUAACAUGAAAGAGAAACAGUAGAUGUAACGAAAAA